rnacentral:misc_RNA from 1 species
AAAAGUCAAAACCUUUUUGUAUACAUUACAUAUUUUUAUACUCUCAAAUUUUAACAUAUCAUUCCUCCAUUUUCAUCUUCUUUGAUUCUCUCAAUUUUUCUCCCUUGACCCUAAAACCCAAAAUUUCUUUGUAUUCUUAACAAAAAUUCCCAAUUUUCUUGAGCCAUAGAUCAGCCAUGAUGAUGCUGGUAAACUGUUCCAAUUGUCAUACCCCAUUACAGCUACCACCAGGUGCAAGAUCCAUUCGUUGUGCGAUUUGUCAGGCAGUAACACAGUUGGCUGACCCGCGUGCUGUUCCUCCACCACCACAUAAUCAAUACCAGCACCCACCACCGUCUUCCUCCGCCGCCGCACCUCCGUCCCCUUACAACCACGCACCUCCUGGCCCACCACCUAAUGCUCAUGGAAGAAAGAAAGCUGUGAUUGUUGGUGUAUCGUAUAGGUAUUCUAGGCAUGAGCUGAAAGGAUGCCUUAAUGAUGCUAAAUGUAUGAAAUAUCUCUUGAUCAACAAGUUUCAUUUUCCCGAGGCGUCUAUUCUUAU